rnacentral:rRNA from 1 species
AUUGAACGCUGGCGGCAGGCUUAACACAUGCAAGUCGAGCGAGCGGAGGACGGGUGAGUAAUGUCUGGGAAACUGCCUGAUGGAGGGGGAUGACUACUGGAAACGGUAGAUAAUACCGCAUACCAUCAGAUGUGCCCAGAUGGGAUUAGCUAGUAGGUGGGGUAACGGCUCACCUAGGGGACGAUCCCUAGCUGGGCUGAGAGGCUGACCAGCCACACUGGAACUGAGACACGGUCCAGACUCCUACGGGAGGCAGCAGUGGGGAAUAUUUCACAAUGGGCGAAAGCCUGAUGCAGCCAUGCCGCGUGUGUGAAGAAGGCCUUCGGGUUGUAAAGCACUUUCAGUGAGGAGGCGUUACUCGCAGAAGAAGCACCGGCUAACUCCGUGCCAGCAGCCGCGGUAAUUC